AUUUUAGGCUAGGUUCAGGUCAUUUUUAAACUAUUGGAUGUGUAUAAACUUGUGUGUCAUGCACAGGUACUCACCAGGGUUGCCUUUUCUUCCACGUUUUCCUGGAGGACCUGUGAAAAGAGGCAACAGGCUGUGCAGAUAUCACUGAUCCCUUCCCCAAUGUGAAAGGAACACAUCCUUUUCCACAAGCUGGGCUGAUAGUUCUGGUGGAAACUUCCCCGGGAGUCUCCACCCCCAGAUAAGAGAGAAGCUGCAGCCCUCCUAAUACUCCUUAUUAGGAAGAAACAGCACUGAAGAUGCUCUUGUGUCUCAUCUACAUGGGCAGGGCUCUUCUGAGACCUUCUGGAUUCAUUUUCUCCAGAGAUGUUAUGCAUCAAAUUGAUCAAGUUAGUGGCAAGUGAAGUACGGCAUUUCUUGAUUUGCCAAACAACUGUGUGUAAUAAAGAUGUUUUCUCUCAGACAAUUCUGUACACAUUGUUCUCUUACCAAUAUUAAAUUAUUCUAAUCCACACAAGCUUUUAUUUGUAGGAAAAAGACAUACUUCUACCCCAACCUUUACAACAGGCCCUGUGUUAAAAGGUGAGGCAUACGAGAUUAAUUUAUAACUUUUAUUCACAUAAAACCUUAUUAUACUAAAAAGUCUCAAAGUUUGAAACCAUGUCAUGCAAACUGUAAUUGGUGCUGUUUAGCAUUUGAGGGAUUAACACAAAAAAUAGAAAUGAUGGUCUGUGUGAAAUGUUUCAUGAACUGAAUGACUGGUUUUGAAUAUGUAAGUGUCAUAUGGAAGACAUUUUCCACACUCUGCUCUACGAUCUGUGGUAAUCUAUACCAACACCCUUAUAAUGUCUCACAUAAACAUCGACUCCCCUCCACAGGGCAUGAGCUGGGCGUGGGAGAUUUAUCACAGAGAAAAGCACGGUCAGGCAUUUUUAGCUUUAUCUUUUACUUUUGAAAUUACCUAUUUUACCCAAAUAUGCUUGGAGGUAGAGUUCACUUCCUGUUCUCCUAAUUGAAACCACCAUAAUUCUUGUCAACUAGGCUAGUUUACAUUAAAACCCAAACUGCAUUACUGCAUUAACCAAAACAUGCCAGUUUACAAAAUAGACAAAGUAAAAAUCUAAACAUCUCAAAACAAACAAUUAAGACAGAUCAGUAAAAAUGGUCAUGUGCAAUUAUAGCUUAAUGUUCCAAUUCAAUAUCCUUGCGCUUGAUCAUUUUCAGUACACGCUUAUCUAAGAACUGCAUCCAUUAAAGUAUACAAAAUAAAUCUUCAUUGUGAAAACAAAAAAGGGAUUUUAGUGCAAAAACCAACACCUUUUCCAAAAGCCUGUCUGUUAAGCCCUUUUGAUACUACGAACAUCUCUACAAAUCCGCUGGUUCAUCCUCUAACCUCUAACCCAAGCUCCUCUCACUUCAGGCACAUAUACAAGCUCAUGUCUGUGUGACACAACCACCAAGUCCCUAUGUUAGCAACAAAUGUUGUUUUAUCAAAACUCAGACUACAUCAAAAACCACAUUACUCUAUAUGCACUUAUGCACUUUGCAGAACUGUACUGUAUAUCUAAGCAAUAACACAUGCAAGAACGCUGAUGUUCCAAAUCAAUACUAACAGCAUUAUUAGAAGUAUAAUAGCUUUUAUAAAACAUUUCAACAAACAAAACAAAAAUAUUGAGAAACAUUUUAGACACAAAUAUUGUCACUCAGUUUUUGCUUCGCCAACGAAAGUAGGCUAGUCCAAACAAAUCAAAAGCAGAAUCUCUCAUAUGAUGAGUAAACUAGUUGAGCAUAUGUCUCAAAAACUGUGUCCAAAACUGCCCUCUAUACCCUUAGUGCACUAGGGCACAAUAUCAAGUACACACAUUCCAUUCCACAAUGUACCUCAAAGUGCAUUCACGCCAGGGUAUUUAUCAUAGUAAUUAUCAUAAUUAUGAGAUUCAAACUUGUAAAAGGCAAUCACAUCCUCGUAGAACUUGUAAUUACACCUGAUAAACUGGGAAUUCUCUGAGAGCUACAAUUUGUAUCACCUGACUGCUGCAGUUUCAGCCUAUUUGUUAUCAACAGUGUUGCCAUAGAAAAGCAUAAUCCCAAGUCCAAGGACAUGAACAGUGCAGAGUAGAAUGUCAAGUGAUUUGAAAUCACAUUUCCAAAUUAUGGUAAUUUCAACAUGGCGUGAAUGCAUGUAUCAUUCAUUGUCAUCACUGUGUCAAAUGAAUUCUGCAUCUCACUAGAAGAUGGCAUCCCCAGCACUUCUGUAUAUACCAUAUAA